AACGUAGGUGGCGAGCGUUAUCCGGAUUUACUGGGCGUAAAGCGUGUGCAGGCGGGUAGUCAAGUGGUGUAUGAAAGCACUGCGCUCAACGCAGUGACCGUAGGCCAGACUGACUAUCUGGAGGGCGAGAGAGGGGCGUGGAAUUCCGGGUGUAGUGGUGAAAUGCGUAGAGAUCCGGAGGAACCCCAGAGGCGAAGGCGGCGCCCUGGCUCGCACCUGACGCUCAGACACGACAGCAUGGGGAGCGAACGGG
rnacentral:rRNA from 1 species